ACUCUGUCCUGGAUGAAGUCUGCCGUCCAAUAAGGAGGCGUAAACCAAGUCACAUGACGCUCGACAUUUAAAGUCAGGCUAAAGUGCUGAGGAAGCGGAGGAAGAGUGAGUGAACUGGGGCAUUUAUUCCUGAUCCUGUUGUUUCUAAAUGGAUUAAAACAAUCGUGGUUAUUUAAAACAUAGCAGCUGCUCCUAACUGCUCAUCACUUUGCUGUGCUCGAACGAAAAGCAGGAGGAAAAUGCCUUUUCUCUGCGUGUUUGUGCUGAUAAUAAGCCUGGAAGUAUCAUGGGCUUUUCCUCCUCCUGUAGAUACCCUCAUACUUCAGAUCCAGCAGUGGGGAGUGGUUGGAGACCAGAGGGUCGUGGAUCAGGUUUUUCUCAAUGGAAUCUCCUUUACCAACACAAGCCAAGAAGUCGGCAAAGUCAUCCAAAGCUUGUCAGCUGAUGCACUCCUUCCUGCUCUUAUCAACAUCAACCAAACUUUACUGCUGAGAAACCAAACCAUUCUUCGCUCCCGAGAGUGCAUACUGGAGGGGUCUCAGUUGCACUGGAGUGACCGAGUGUUUUGCAAUGGAAAGGUUUAUCUGACCUUGGACCUCAAUGAGCAAUGGAAAGCAAACAUACCUCAAGCGCUGGCCCUCAAAGAAGUGUGGGACCAGAAAAUGCAGAACUCAAAGGUAGAGAGUGUCCAGCUGCAGAAGGGUUGCAUCAAGCUCAUAAAAGACUUGAGGCUGCCCGAGGAACACUCAGCUGUUGAUGCCGGAAUUUCUUUGCCGAAGUUUCUAAUCCCGAUCAUGGCCUUUCUGACAUUUUCCGGAUUGAUAAUCAUCACCUUAGUGGUUUCUAAGGACAUGGGCCUGAGGCAGCCUGGAGGUGUGAUAGGCUCUAUCAUACAUUACCCUAUCGACGUCAUAGACAGUGAUGAAGGAAAAAAAGGCUACAGCUACCAAACCUUAUAAGCAAAAAGUCAUUAUUUCAGGUUUCUCUAUUUGUUAAUGUUGUUUUACAUAAAAUAAACUGUGGUCCUCUAUGAAUGUAUCA
rnacentral:lncRNA from 1 species